rnacentral:rRNA from 1 species
GACGAACGCUGGCGGCGGGCUUAACACAUGCAAGUCGAAGGAGAAGGAGGUAGCUUGCUACUUCUGGAGACUGGCGCACGGGUGAGUAACGCGUAGGUAACCUACCUAUUGCAGGGGGAUAACAGCUGGAAACGGCUGCUAAUACCGCAUAUUGCAACAGGCCCGCAUGGGGCUGUUGUGAAAGCUGCGGCGGCAAUAGAUGGGCCUGCGUGCCAUUAGUUAGUUGGUGGGGUAACGGCCUACCAAGACGAUGAUGGCUAGCUGGUCUGAGAGGAUGAUCAGCCACACUGGGACUGAGACACGGCCCAGACUCCUACGGGAGGCAGCAGUGAGGAAUUUUGCGCAAUGGACGAAAGUCUGACGCAGCCACGCCGCGUGGUGGAUGAAGGUUCUAUGAAUUGUAAACACCUUUUGCCAGGGAAGAACCCCGGAGUUUCGACUUCGGUUGACGGUACCUGGUGAAUAAGCACCGGCUAACUCCG